GGAGGAUGUACAUUGUGGCCUAAGUCACCACCAUAGCUCUGAGUAUGUGUUUAUCUCACCAUUCUUCGCCCACUGGUUUUAGACGCUACUGGCAUUUGCUGCCUCUCCGACGACUGAGCUUCUCGUGCACAGCUCCUUCCUCAUCUUCCCUCCCUGAGCAGGUCCAUGGCAACCUUAAUUUCUCUAUUGUGAUUUUAAGUUAAUGCACCAAGCAACUAGAGAUAAUGGCACCCUCUGAAGCUCCACUUUGUAAGGGAGGCGGUCCUUGUCCCCUGCCCUGCUCUCUGGCUUUCCUGCUCCCAGGUGACAGACACACAGGCUCCUCAGACUCCGGGAGCCCAUAAGGAACCUGCAAAGGGCACAGGAAGUACACUGGAGGUCUUCGCAGAAAUUUUGUUGAGCCUGGAUUUGGGGGUUGGGCAGGUCAUGCAGGUGCGGUCCCAAGAGGGUUGAGCAGAAGUAGCUGUGCGUCCUCACCCUGACAGAACACAGAGGAUUGAGCAGAGGGACAGUGCUGGCUGGGAUACUGGCUGCACCUGCGGCCUAGAAGGGCGGGAAAGAGCUUUGGACUGAUUGAGUAGAGGCAGAGAUUUGAGAAGGGAGGGAGGAAGAGGACUGGUGUGCCCAGCUCUGAAGGCAGACCCUCUGGGACAUUUUCAGUGCUCUUCAGUUUUCUUUGAAAAGAAAAAAGGCCCAGAUCCCAGGCGCAGGCCCAUUCAUCUUCCCUGGAGUAUUCAUUCUGCUGAAUCCUGGAAAAGAUUUAUACACCAGCAGCAUUCUGUAGUGAGUGUUAUGCUGGAAUUCAAACCCAGGUCCACCUCUUUUCAAGACAAGUUCUUUUCUCAUUUCCGAGGCACCAGGGAAAAGAAAUCACUUCCCUGCACUGGUUCUGUUGGGGCCAAAAGAUCAGGAGAUGAUUGCCAUUGAAAAGGUAGUUUGUUACUCAGAGUUCCCAAGAGGAGGGAGCCCCCCACCACGCAGGGCCACAUGGGGAAGCCCCAGGGUUGAUCAGGAAGCAAAAGGAAUGGCAGGGAACUGUGGUCCAGGGCCUUUGCUGUGGUUUCCACAGGAAGAAAUGGGGAGGGGAGGGUAAGCAGGCUAAAGACUGGCUAGUGUGAAUCAUUUCAGUGGGCUCUGAGGCAUAGGAGCUGUGCCUUGCUCUCUGGUAAUUAGGGCAGAUGGACAGUGGCCUGCGUGUGAGAAGGUUGGAUGGUUGGGGGUGUGGGAUCUGGGUUGGUUGGUUUGCAUCUGAAAAGCACAGUCCCAGGUGAGAUCCUUUACUCUGUCUAGGAGUUGGCUAACCCUGGGAGGGCAGGCCCCAGGUGCCAAAACAUCAAAAUACAGAAAAUAAAAGACACAGUGAGACCUGGUCCUUCGUUCUCUGCACUCCACUGGCAUAUCCAACUGUGCAGUCAUUGACUGUGAGCAUUUCUUACCACUGGACUGAGUUUCUGUGGAAGACAGAGUAGGUCCUAACCAAAACUCAAUGGACUGAAGGAACGCAGAUUCCAGUUUCACCUGAUGGAGUUUGUAGUGACUUUCACAACAGAUACUGGUAACAGGCCCACAGCAGGGCCAGCCUGGAAGUGUCAUCGUGCAGGGUUCUCACAGUCACUUCCCUCUCCAGGUCUUGUCAGCCUUCCCCAGGGUGGAAUGUGAGUUCUUUCCUCCUCCCAGAUGGUGUUUUAGUGACCAGGAAGGGACAUAUUUCAACCUCCCCCAAAGAUGAGGUGGCCUUUGGCCUCAGGAAUUUGCCACAAACUCAUGUGAUCUCUGUGUUUUAGGACAUUUAUUUGAAGGGCAGGGGAACAAAUGGAUUGCAGGGAAACAUCCUGGCUGAAAAUAUCCUGGAAAAGCUUAAGGAAGUACUUGAGACACUUCACACCGGGGAGCAAAACCAGCUCGCUCAGAUGUGUGAAAAGCGUGGAAAAAUCAUGAAUCUGGUAUUAAAUUAUACUUUUUAAAAUUUUCUUUUUGCCUAGCUGCCCAAUCUGUCAAAUUACUCGGUAAGCCUACAUAGUUGAAACCAGAUGUUUACUCAGGAGUAUAGUAGAGGAUUACUUUCCAAAUCCACAGCCCAGUGCUAACUUUAUUCUUGAUUUGUAACGUGGAGCCCAG
rnacentral:lncRNA from 1 species